AACGAACGCUGGCGGCGUGCCUAACACAUGCAAGUCGAACGGAGUUAAUGCUGUAGCAAUACAGCGUUGACUUAGUGGCGGACGGGUGAGUAACACGUAGGUAACCUACCUUCAAGAGGGGGAUAACUCCGAGAAAUUGGAGCUAGUACCGCGUAAGACCACGGGCUGAGAUGCUUGUGGUAAAAAGAGCAAUCUGCUUGAGGAUGGGCCUGCGGCCUAUCAGGUAGUUGGUAGGGUAAUGGCCUACCAAGCCUAUGACGGGUAGCCGGGCUGAGAGGUUGGACGGCCACACUGGGACUGAGACACGGCCCAGACUCCUACGGGAGGCAGCAGUGAGGAAUCUUGCGCAAUGGGGGAAACCCUGACGCAGCGACGCCGCGUGGAGGAUGAAGGCCUUCGGGUUGUAAACUCCUUUUCUUGGAGAAAAUGGUGAUGGUACCCAAGGAAAAAGCCACGGCUAACUCUGUGCCAGCAGCCGCGGUAAGACAGAGGUGGCAAGCGUUGUUCGGAAUUACUGGGCUUAAAGGGCGAGUAGGCGGUGAAGUAAGUUCAGGGUGGAAUCCUAAGGCUUAACCAUAGAAUUGCCUUGGAUACUGCUUCACUUGAGUCAGCGAGAGGAGGGCGGAAUUCCCGGUGUAGCGGGGAAAUGCGUAGAUAUCGGGAGGAA
rnacentral:rRNA from 1 species